rnacentral:rRNA from 1 species
GACGAACGCUGGCGGCGUGCUUAACACAUGCAAGUCGAGCGGUAAGGCCCUUUCGGGGGUACACGAGCGGCGAACGGGUGAGUAACACGUGGGUGACCUGCCCUCAGCUCUGGGAUAAGCCUGGGAAACCGGGUCUAAUACCGGAUAUGACUCCAUGACGCACGUUGUGGGGUGGAAAGCCUUGUGCGGCUGAGGAUGGGCCCGCGGCCUAUCAGCUUGUUGGUGGGGUGAUGGCCACCAAGGCGACGACGGGUAGCCGGCCUGAGAGGGCGACCGGCCACACUGGGACUGAGACACGGCCCAGACUCCUACGGGAGGCAGCAGUGGGGAAUCUUGCGCAAUGGGCGAAAGCCUGACGCAGCGACGCCGCGUGAGGGAUGACGGCCU